rnacentral:rRNA from 1 species
CCUACGGGGAGCAGCAGUAGGGAAUCUUCCACAAUGGGCGAAAGCCUGAUGGAGCAACGCCGCGUGGGUGAAGAAGGUCUUCGGAUCGUAAAACCCUGUUGUUAGAGAAGAAAGUGCGUGAGAGUAACUGUUCACGUUUCGACGGUAUCUACCCAGAAAGCCACGGCUAACUACGUGCCAGCAGCCGCGGUAAUACGUAGGUGGCAAGCGUUAUCCGGAUUUAUUGGGCGUAAAGGGAACGCAGGCGGUCUUUUAAGUCGGAUGUGAAAGCCUUCGGCUUAACCGGAGUAGUGCAUUGGAAACUGGGAGACUUGAGUGCAGAAGAGGAGAGUGGAACGCCAUGUGUAGCGGUGAAAUGCGUAGAUAUAUGGAAGAACACCAGUGGCGAAAGCGGCUCUCUGGGCUGUAACUGACGCUGAGGUUCGAAAGCGUGGGUAGCAAACAGGAUUAGAUACCCGGGUAGUC